rnacentral:hammerhead_ribozyme from 1 species
AUCCAAUUGACGAGUCCCAAAUAGGACGAAACGCGCGUCCUGGAU